rnacentral:misc_RNA from 1 species
AAAAUGCGAUACGCAAUGCGAAUUGCAGAACUCCGCGAGUCAUCAGGUCUUCGAACGCAAACCGCGCCGAUGGGGCUUGCUCCAACGGCAUGUCUGCUUCAGUGUGCUAGAUGCCAUCCCACAAACCGAUGCGAUUGAACUCUUCUCUCGCUAAGUGAGGCUUUUUUGCGACGGUCUUCUGGAGCAAUCCAAAAGAUGCAGAACAGCACUUCCUCUCCGGGCAUCUGAAGUCAGGCAAGACCACCCGCUGAACUUAA